rnacentral:rRNA from 1 species
ACAGGGAUUGCCUCAGUAACGGCGAGUGAAGCGGCACAAGCUCAAAUUUGAAAUCUGGCUCUUUCAGGGUCCGAGUUGUAAUUUGUAGAAGAUGCUUCGGGUGUGGCCCCGGUCUAAGUUCCUUGGAACAGGACGUCAUAGAGGGUGAGAAUCCCGUAUGUGACUGGGUGCCUACGCUCAUGUGAAGCUCUUUCGACGAGUCGAGUUGUUUGGGAAUGCAGCUCAAAAUGGGUGGUAUAUUUCAUCUAAAGCUAAAUAUUGGCCAGAGACCGAUAGCGCACAAGUAGAGUGAUCGAAAGAUGAAAAGCACUUUGGAAAGAGAGUUAAACAGUACGUGAAAUUGUUGAAAGGGAAGCGCUUGCAAUCAGACUUGCGCCUGGGUAAUCAUCCGGGGUUCUCUCCGGUGCACUUGCUCAGGCUCAGGCCAGCAUCGGUUUGGGUGGUUGGAUAAAGGCCUUGGGAAUGUGGCCCCCUUCGGGGGGUGUUAUAGCCCUCGGUGCCAUGCAGCCUACCUGGACCGAGGACCGCGCUUCGGCUAGGAUGCUGGCGUAAUGGUUGUAAGCGACCCGUCUUGAAACACGGACCAAGGAGUCUAACAUCUAUGCGAGUGUUUGGGUGUCAAACCCAUACGCGUAAUGAAAGUGAACGGAGGUGAGAACCCUUUAGGGCGCAUCAUCGACCGAUCCUGAUGUCUUCGGAUGGAUUUGAGUAAGAGCAUAGCUGUUGGGACCCGAAAGAUGGUGAACUAUGCGUGAAUAGGGUGAAGCCAGAGGAAACUCUGGUGGAGGCUCGCAGCGGUUCUGACGUGCAAAUCGAUCGUCAAAUUUGCGUAUAGGGGCGAAAGACUAAUCG